UUUAAACUCCACCUUACACUGUGAUCCAGUAUUAACUUUAAACUUACACUUGGGGAGGUUCAACUUUUAAAAUGGCUGCCUUUUUGAGAUGGAUUGAGCAAAAUAAUCAAGUUCCUCAAAGAAAGUUAAGGGACAGACUCAAUCCAACCUUUGCACUGCUGAGCUAAACUCUAUAUAAACGACUAAAAUAACAGAAAGGAGUGCACAUUAUGAAGAAAGGUAGCGCGAGGAAACGAUGCCAGGUGGAAGUUAAGUUUCACUUUCACUUUCCGGCAGAGACAUUACAGCUACAUAAAACAGCAUCUUCCUCUGAUUUCGUCUUCGGCAUUCCAGCUGUGGAAGACGGCUUCUUCCCCCGCUUUGAAAAGCAAUCAGACGUCCAUAGAUCCGCGCAGCUUCGCGGAUGGCUACAAUCUUUUUUAUUUGAUUUGGUUGUUUUGGACCUGAGCAAACGAGACGAGGAUGUGACGCUGCGAUCGGAUCUUAUUUUACACUUACUAGGUCCCGACAGCACGCACAUUUAUUUAUUAUUUAUUUUAAUUUGGGUUGGCAAGCAUCUCCAUUUUGAUUAAACUUUACUUAAUUUUGGUUUACAUCAAUAAACUUGCAUUUACUAAAUGGAGAUUAGUUUUUAAUUGUGCUACAGAGCUCUGCUUAAUUUUAAAUCUGGAUUUACUCAUUUUAAACCUAGUUUUGCAAAACUCAGAUUAGAACUAAUCUUAGAUUAAAUUAAUCCUUGAUGGCGCAACCCAGCCUAAAUACCUUAAUGGCACCAGUAUUCAACAGGGACUAAACCUUUUCUGAAGGAAAACAUAUUUAGCAACUCAAUAUUCAUUAUAUUCUUUGAUGCCUUCUUUCUCUUCUGAUGAUGAUGAACAGGUUUCAGGGUGGACAGCAGACAAGUUGGACAGAACAGAGACCACCGUUGAUCACCGCUGACUCUUGCUUCAAACGUCCUCAGCUGGGUGGCUGAUUCAGCGGAUCCCCCCGCUCUCUGCCCACCAUAAACCCCAUCACUGUUUUAUCUCAGACUGCUGCUGCUGCUGCUGCCUCUCCUGCAGUUGUCGUUCCCUUCUGGUGGGGAGUCGUGCAGCUGACUGAUGACCCCCGCAGGCACUUGGGUGUCCAUAGGCUACAUAGGCCACAUUCAUUCAUCCACCAGGAGCCGCAGUAAAGGAUCAUGUGAAAAUAUGUUCCAUAUAUCACCAGGGGGGACAUUUUCCUGUGAUGGCAGACAAACUUUUGAGACUUUAAAGAAUGAUUUCAGCAACCAAACCGAUUUCAAUAUACAUAUGGGAAUGUUAGUAUUGUUCUAACACAAGACUUCAAAAAAUGUGAACCUAUCCUUUAAGCUAAACUAGCCGCUGGAGUGGAAGCAUGGAAAUAAGAGAAGAGACUGAAGUUAGAAGUGACUAAUAUAGCCUACUGUGUCUGUUGGUUUUAUAUAUGACAAUUUUAUACUUUACAGUAAGUGAGUCUGUAUACAAAUCUACUGUAUUUAGGUUUCCUUUAACUUCCUAAAAAUGAACUGAUAUGUAACUAUAAAUUCAUAGGAAGGUUCUUGGUAAGGACUGUGUACGUUGGUAGUAAUUGUAGGGAAAAUUAGUAUUCAAUUCUGCCAGUUAAUUGCAAUCAAUUGCAAGCAACACUUAGAGAGUGUUAUAGUCAGUGCACAGCCGGUCAGCUGAACAUGCGUCAAAUUUAUAUACAAAUAUAUUUGAAGAAUAUGGUUUUCAAUAAUAAAUGAGUGAAUAUUGACAUGGGUUUUAAUGGAGCAGUUCUAUCAAGGAAGUUCCUUUGGAAAUCAACAAAUUCUCAUAAAGUCAGCACACCUAACAAAACUCAAAAAAACUGUCAGCAAACCUUGACUCUAUUUUUCUUAUGAUUAGUGCCAAACUGAAGAAUUAUUUUCAGGAAAAGUUGUAGAAAAUGAUUAGGAAAUGACAGACCUGUAAAGUAAAGCAUUAUCAUUUAUUCUUUAGUCCUACACAGUGAGACAUUUAGAAAUUCAGUUUACCAAACCACACAUAUUCAUAUUACUAAACUAUACUAUACUAUAUUACUAUUUACUGCUUGUAUGCAUCUUUAUAUGAAUGUAUCCAUAUAAUGCUACACUGUUAAUAUACAGGUAAACUGAUACACAGAUUUGUGUAUGCUGUGAGUUACAUUAUGUCCUUUUUGCCUUUGUUUGCACUGAAACUAGUCAAUUAUUAUGUCUUAUGCAAAAUGUUAAUACAGUAAUGAUAAAGUCAAACUUCUUUGUGAGAGUUCAGUUUCCACUGUGAUGCAAAGCAUUUAUGAACAACUACCAGUUUGUGGGCCUGUGAUGCCCCUUGAGAAUGUUAUUGCAAUGAAGGGCUUCAUAAAUAAACUUGAUUCAUUGUGACACUUGAAA